rnacentral:rRNA from 1 species
UGGCGGGGUGCUUUACACAUGCAAGUCGAACGAGCCUUCGGGCUAGUGGCGGACGGGUGAGUAACGCGUGGGCAAUCUGCCCUCAGGAGGGGGAUAACGGCCGGAAACGGCCGCUAAUACCCCAUAUGCCGAGAGGUGAAAUGAAUUUCGCCUGAGGAUGAGCCCGCGUCUGAUUAGCUAGUUGGUGGGGUAAUGGCCCACCAAGGCGACGAUCAGUAGCUGGUCUGAGAGGAUGAUCAGCCACACUGGGACUGAGACACGGCCCAGACUCCUACGGGAGGCAGCAGUGGGGAAUUUUCCGCAAUGGGCGAAAGCCUGACGGAGCAACGCCGCGUGAGGGAUGAAGGCCUCUGGGCUGUAAACCUCUUUUCUCAAGGAAGAAGACAUGACGGUACUUGAGGAAUAAGCCACGGCUAAUUCCGUGCCAGCAGCCGCGGUAAUACGGGAGUGGCAAGCGUUAUCCGGAAUUAUUGGGCGUAAAGCGUCCGCAGGCGGCCUUGUAAGUCUGUCGUUAAAGCGUGGAGCUUAACUCCAUUUCAGCGAUGGAAACUACAAGGCUUGAGUGUGGUAGGGGCAGAGGGAAUUCCCGGUGUAGCGGUGAAAUGCGUAGAUAUCGGGAAGAACACCAGUGGCGAAGGCGCUCUGCUGGGCCAUAACUGACGCUCAUGGACGAAAGCCAGGGGAGCGAAAGGGAUUAGAUACCCCUGUAGUCCUGGCCGUAAACGAUGAACACUAGGUGUCGGGGGAAUCGACCCCCUCGGUGUCGUAGCUAACGCGUUAAGUGUUUCCGCCUGGGGAGUACGCACGCAAGUGUGAAACUCAAAGGACAUUGACGGGGGCCCGCACAAGCGGUGGAGUAUGUGGUUUAAUUCGAUGCAACGCGAAGAACCUUACCAGGGUUUGACAUCCUGCGAAUCCCUUGGAAACGAGGGAGUGCCUUCGGGAGCGCAGAGACAGGUGGUGCAUGGCUGUCGUCAGCUCGUGUCGUGAGAUGUUGGGUUAAGUCCCGCAACGAGCGCAACCCACGUCUUUAGUUGCCAGCAUUCAGUUGGGCACUCUAGAGAGACCGCCGGUGAUAAACCGGAGGAAGGUGUGGAUGACGUCAAGUCAUCAUGCCCCUUACAUCCUGGGCUACACACGUACUACAAUGCUACGGACAAAGGGUUGCAAGCUCGCGAGAGUUAGCUAAUCCCAUAAACCGUGGCUCAGUUCAGAUCGUAGGCUGCAACUCGCCUACGUGAAGGAGGAAUCGCUAGUAAUCGCAGGUCAGCAUACUGCGGUGAAUACGUUCCCGGGCCUUGUACACACCGCCCGUCACACCAUGGAAGUUGGCCAUGCCCGAAGUCGUUACUCCAACCCUUGUGGAGGAGGACGCCGAAGGUGGGGCUGAUGACUGGGGUGAAGUCGUAACAAGGUAGCCGUACCGGAAGGUGCGGCUGGAUCACCUCCU